GUGAAUCAUCGAAUCUUUGAACGCAAAUUGCGCCUUUUUGGGAAGGCAUGGCUGUCUGAGGGCACCAUUUAACAAAUAAUGUGUAGCGUUUUUUGUUGCACACGUUGAAGAGCUUUUUAAGAAUUUUAAAUUUUUGGCUGCGCAUAAUAAAAAGCGCGAUGUUUUUUUUUAGUUCGAGUGUAGUAAUAUUUUUUCUUGUUUGGGUUGUGAAAAGCGUGUGCGCGGAAUGGGUGAGGAAAUA
rnacentral:misc_RNA from 1 species